UAAGAGAAAAACCCAAGCUGAGGAGGGACAGGGAGGAGAGGGGGGCGCAAUUACUUUAGCGGUGCAGUGAAAAUGAUGAGCAGCAAAUGUUGCCUUUUUUCCCUCCUCCUUCUCGUCCCUCCACCCCCCACCCUCCACCCAAAAAGCAAGUCUUAGAGGAUUUCUCUGUCUCAAUGAAGUAAUAAUAAAGGCGGCUGACCACAGUCUGGGCUAGCGCCAACCGUGCGGGGGGGGAGGGGGAGGAAUAUCCCUGCUCCCAGAGUCCUGAGGAGAAGAGGAAGAGUGGAGGAUUGUUGCAGCACAAGUUCUUGCUCUUGGUGAAAAAAUAUCUCUUCUCUGGAAAUUCAUUUCCAUUUACUUAAAGUUAAAUGGUUUGACUUUGAAUUUUCAUUAUCUGCUGUUGGAAGGAGCCUGUGACAGAUAGGGUAGCCCGCAGACUGGCCAUAAAUUGCACCAAAUUGGGAACGUGCUGAACUCUAAGAGUGAGUUUCUUUUUUGUUCUAUGGUUGUAAGUCUUAGCAUUUCAAAGUGUAUUUUCAUUAUCAAAAAGUGGUCUGGACUGUAGCUGCCAUCUAAAUAAAGUUGAAUACACUACUUCAUUCACUGGAAGUUACUAAAAAAGGCUACCUAAUAUUCUUCUCUUUUCACUGCUGAUGGAUCACAUUAUCUCAUUUUUAUACACGACUGGACAACAUAGAAAAUGUCUUUGUGACUUCUGAGACUCACUCUAGCAGGUAUUGGCAACAUACUGGAUGGAGAACUUCUGGGCUCUUGAAAGAAACACAUAAUGCAAUUGCCUGGUCAUCAAUAUACUAGUUUUAAAUAUUGUGGAAUUUAGCCAUUAUUCUUUUGAUUACAUAUUUGAGGCAACAUAUAUUUGGCCAUAGAGGAUGUAUAGUUUGAGUAGAUACAGAUGUCUAUAGGAAGAAAUUGUAAUUUCUCUUAGUUCAAAAUUCAUUAAAUAGGCUUUAUCGUACCUUUCUUAUUUUUGUCCCAAGAUGGAUACUUGUUUAUCUUUAAUAACUUGACAACCAGUAACAACUGCAUUUGCUUUAUUUGUAGACACUUUAAGAAAAAAAAAAAAAGUUGUUGAUUCUUUUACUCAUCCCUUGAUAGGACUGGUUGGUGAAUGUUACUACUUGCUAAGGGUGUCACCUUUUUCUUGUCCAUACUUAAUACAGAAGAAAAAGCAAGGGAACUCCUCCAGCCAAACUAUCAUUUCUUUUGAUAUGGGUCCUUUUUUAUUCUGGAGAAAACCUCCUACAGAUUUUCAAGCAUAUUUCAUUUAAUAUAGAUUUGGCCUUUUCAGUCUGGAACAAGAAAUAUCAGAGAGUUCAUACAAGUAGAUGUUAUAACAACACCAGCAACAUCUGCAGAAUGACAGAGUUUAUUUUUAGUUGCAACGUGUAAUAAUCACUAUUGGCCUCCUCAGCUUCUCAAUUUCUGCAACAAUUUUCUGGAAAAAUGUUUUUGUUUCAGGCUUUGUUUUGUAGCAUCAUGGGAAGUUUCAUCAUUAAAAAAAUAAGAAGAAAAAUUACUUCCUUUAACUGGACUAAAUCAAUAUUUCUUCCUAAAAUAAUGAAACCAUAUGUAGUUAAAAACUAUCAUACAGGUGAAGAAGAGUCCAUGAGUAGGAAUAAUGCAAAAUAAUUUGACUUUUGAGAGACUGUAAGCUCUUCAAACCUAUUGUUAAAACAGAUGAUGCUUGACAUCAUUGCAAAUCAUUCUGUCUUCCUUUUACUUAUAAGACCUGGUAUCUGUAAUAGACAGUGUACAUACAUUCAUAUGGUGAUGUUUGGUUAGUAGAACACACACGGCUGGAGUUAAAUUAUUUAAUUUAUAGAGUUUCAAAUAUCUGCUAUCUUCACUAGAUAGAUCUUUAAAAACUGAAAGAAUAUCCCUUAAUAUGGUUUUCAUUGAAAACAAGCAUUUAGGGAAAAAAAAAAUAAAAAGGAAACAAAUGUGCCAUAUACAUGCAAAACAUGCUAGCUUGAAUGUACCUUUAUAAUUACCAAACAGUAUUUCUUCAGGUAUAGAGUGCAUUUUGAUGUUGUUCAUUUUAUCAUACACACAUUAUUCCAUAAUCUAAAAAAUAACAUAGCUUUGCAAGAAGAUGCCUAGUGAUUUAUUAUUAGGUUCAGUUAUCCUCUGCAGGAAGAUAAAAUUACUACUACUUACUUUCAAAAGAGGUCCAGGGUUGAAUCCUCACUAUCAUAUAGAGAAACUAGAAUUUGACUCUCCCAUUAACUUUGCUUAGGUUGGGGGGGGAACAGUAUCUUUGAAUGUUAAGCCACUGGUUUUCAUACAUGAAUAUUCAGAAAUCUAGUCAACCCAAAAUGGAGACCACUGUGUGAGACACAGCCCUUGUUUGGAAAGCAAAACUGAGGAUUUCCUGAGGCUUCAUGCUGUGAGAAAAGGAGCUGUGGACCAGUCAGUGCCUUUUUCCACCACUAAGUACUGAAGUUAAUGUGAGUGUGAAUCUAUAUUUCUUUGUUCAGAGUUACUGUAAAUGUUCUCUCAUGGAGAAAUUGCUCAGUCUAAAGAUAAUUAUAGUUACGCAGUCAUUCAGGUGAAUUAGUGCAGGCAAACGAAGAAGGCUCACCUCAUCACUAAUGGACACAAGCAGUAUGCAGUGACUGACUCUAAACACUGGCUGUUCUGAAGUGUCCUAGCCUGGAUACCAGCAAUAGUAUCUGCUUGGAUAGCAGAUGUGUAUGCCCUGCUCACAGCUAAUUAUUUCUGCAGAGUGACAGUAUGAUGGUGAUUAAAAAUAUAUAUUAAUAUAUAUGGUGUGUUAGACCUAUAAAUAUAUCUUGCCUGA